UACGGAGGGAGCUAGCGUUGUUCGGAAUUACUGGGCGUAAAGCGCACGUAGGCGGCUUUGUAAGUUAGAGGUGAAAGCCUGGAGCUCAACUCCAGAACUGCCUUUAAGACUGCAUCGCUUGAAUCCAGGAGAGGUGAGUGGAAUUCCGAGUGUAGAGGUGAAAUUCGUAGAUAUUGGGAAGAACACCGGUGGCGAAGGCGGCUCACUGGCUCGUAACUGACGCUCAGGCGCGAUAGCGUGGGGAUCAAACAGG
rnacentral:rRNA from 1 species